rnacentral:rRNA from 1 species
AGAGUUUGAUCCUGGCUCAGAACGAACGCUGGCGGCAGGCCUCAAACAUGCAAGUCUAGGGGGUGUAGCAAUACAUCACCGGCGGACGGGUGCGUAACACGUGGGAAUAUACCUUUUGGUUCGGAAUAACGCAGGGAAACUUGCGCUAAUACCGAAUGUGCCCUUACGGGGAAAGAUUUAUCGCCAAAGGAUUAGCCCGCGUAGGAUUAGCUAGUUGGUGAGGUAAUGGCUCACCAAGGCUCCGAUCCUUAGCUGUUCUGAGAGGAAGAUCAGCCACACUGGACUGAGACACGGCCCAGACUCCUACGGGAGGCAGCAGUUGGGAAUCUUGGACAAUGGGGGAAACCCUGAUCCAGCCAUGCCGCGUGAGUGAUGAAGGCCUUCGGGUUGUAAAACUCUUUCGACGGGGACGAUAAUGACGGUACCCGUAGAAGAAGCUCCGGCUAACUUCGUGCCAGCAGCCGCGGUAAUACGAAGGGGGCUAGCGUUGUUCGGAAUUACUGGGCGUAAAGCGCGCGCAGGCGGUCUUCCAAGUCAGUGGUGAAAGCCCGGAGCUCAACUCCGGAACUGCCAUUGAAACUGUAAGACUUGAGGACGAGAGAGGUGAGUGGAAUUCCCAGUGUAGAGGUGAAAUUCGUAGAUAUUGGGAAGAACACCGGUGGCGAAGGCGGCUCACUGGCUCGUAUCUGACGCUCAGGCGCGACAGCGUGGGGAUCAAACAGGAUUAGAUACCCUGGUAGUCC